UAAAUGCAAAUACAAUAAGAUAAAUAUAUAAUAAGAAGUGAAAAAACAUAUGGUUUUAAACAAUUGAUUAAUUAUAACAUGUAAAUUAUAAAAUUAUUGUAUUUGAAAUAGUUAUAUAAAUAUUUAAGUAUAUGAUUUAAAAAUAUAUACCACUAAUGUUUAAAAAUAAUAAUUUAUGUAUAGAAAAGUAAAAACAAACACACACGCGGUUGCGCGGACCAAAAUCUAGUAAUAGUUUAAAAUGAUUUUGAGGUUUUUUUCGUACAUGGAGACGAGAUUAUUUUCGCUAACAGUGACUCUAAUAUAUUAUUGGUUAAUGUAUUCGGGACGCGUGAAUGCCUUUUGAAAGUGAGCUAGCAAGAGAUCUGAAACUUCAAACCUAAUCAAGAUGAAUUGGUAACGUCGAAAGUUAUAAGGAUUUGGAACGACAAGUAUGUUCUUUGUUUCCUUCAGGCUUAAAAUGUAUUGUCCGUGUGGAUUCCUUGGGUUUCUGAACAGUACUGUUCUCCCACUCACUAUUUUAAAUCAAAAUUAAUUAACCUACAAAACUUUAGAAGAAAACACAAUUCUCCGCAGAAAAUACUGUUUUUAAUUUUCUUGAGUAACAAAGAACUACAACCACAAAAAUAUACGCAUUUUAAGUGGUCAUUUGAUGUAUUGUAUAUAAAUGUUAUAUAAUAUUUUAAUUGUUUGAAAACAUAAGUAUAGAUUUAUUUUAUUGAUAAAAAUAGUUAUUCUUUUUAAUAAAUUUUAAAAGAAUACAAAACAUGAAUUAGCUAAAACCCAUCUUACUUAAUCAAUUUUUUAGACAAUAGUUAAAAUAAGGAUCUAGUUACCCAUCUUACUGAUCAAAUUCCCAUUCAACUUUGUUUUCAAAAAUCUAAAUUCUAGUUUGAAAAGAAAAGAAAAGUAAAGAAAUGAACUAGCUACAACAAAACAUAAAAAAAAAAUCAAAUAAAAAAAGCAAGACCUUAAUUAACAAUUGAAAACAAAAACUAAAAUCCAAAAUAAAAUAAAAUAAAUCACGAAAAAACUAUUCCAUCACGAGUUUUUUCUUUUGAAUUUAUCUAGUAACUUAUAUACUUUUUUUCCUUCUAACAUGAAAAUUACAUUCAACUACGUGAUCACUCCCACCUGAAAUAUUUUACACCUAAAACAAUAACGUACGUCUACGAACAUCAAACCAUGUAGAUUAUAUCCCACAGCAAACUAAGGCUUCUCACACCAUUUAUACUACAUUCGACUCAAGACCAAUCGAUGCAUUGAUAUAAUUGAUGUUUAGUUGGAUUGAGGAAAUUAUCAAAUUUUAUGUAAAAUUAGUUGGAGUAUAUGUGCAUGUGAAGAUCUAUAAUCGACGGAUAGUUGUAAGUAAAGAUAUAUCUAAUGUAUGCAUGUGAACAUCUAUAUAUGAAGAGAGAAGAUUUGUGACUUUUGAAGGGAAUCGAGGUGAAGGAAGGGUCCAAGGGAAAGAAUCCACGAGAGAGAACUGCAAAUCCAAUGCUCUUCCAAUUUCGUUUUUUAGGGGGUCAGAUUUCGUUUUUCUUUUAAAACAUGUUCUUUCUUCCCUUUUAUACCUACAUACAUAAAAUUAUAAACACACAGUAGAUAUUCUAUAAAUUAAUAUUUGAUAAAUUAAUAAACAAACUAAAUUAAUAAUUUUUUUGGUCGUAAAUUGGAUCGAUUCAAAAUAUAACAUAAAUCGAUAAGAUAAUAAGCUAAUAGUUAUCAUAUUUUCUUAGAGGUAAAAAUACAAUGUUAUUCGUUUUUUACAUUUUCUGUUUCAUUUUAAAUGAUGUCUUAAGGUUUUAUUUUUGUUUCAGUCUAAGUGAUAUAUGAUGUUUUAUUUUUUAGAUAUUAUUUAGUGUUUCAAUCAUAUAUAUUUUAUUGUAUCAUUUUAUUGGUCGAAAUGGCUUUAGUUAAUACAAAAAGAAGCAGAAUUAAUAAAAUUAAUAAUUUCUUAACUGAUAUGUAAAAAAUUAAACACCAAAUAAUUUGAAAUAGAGGGGAUAUAUUUUUUUAGUCCUUCCAAUCUUUCAUGUAUUUUUCACGUUCUCGUCUUUCUUGUAUCGGGACGUUGUACAAUUAUCUAAAGAGAUCUCUUAUCUAAACAGGGUAUAUUCAUGCAUGUACACGUAGAUAUAUUAGUAUAUAGAUGUAUUAACAUAUUUGCGAGUAAUUUCUUUUUUUGGUCAUAAUAUAAAAGGCGCAUGCAAUUGGAAAUUUUAACAUUUUUCAAAUUUUAGAAAUAAUUGUCAUUUCAUUAUGUCACUCGGGGCGGUUUUCCACUGGGUAUUCUCUUUUCUUUUUGUUUUGGGAGGGAGUUAAAAUCGAGUCUUUAGUUUUUGCCCAUCAUUAUAACACACUAAGAACAUCUCUAACCAAUCUAUAUAUAUUUGUUUUUAUAGUACCAUUUAGAGACAAUUUUACUUCAUUCCGUUUUAUUUCUUCUUUACAAUAGGAAUUGCUAAUCUCUUCUUUUAUAAAUAGAGUAAGAAAUAGCAAUUUUCUAUUUUCUUUACUAUAAUAAAAUAAUAUUUUAAAGGAAUACAUUAAAAUAAAUUCCACCACUAUUAUAAAGUUUAUCUAUUUUAAAGAAAUCUAUAUCAAUAUAUAUUAGAGAUAACCACGUGGUGGUGGGCUAGUGGUCUUGAGGGAGCAACAUCCCCAAUACAGACCUGGCUUCAAAACCCCGUGUGAAUACCCGGACUAACGUUAAAUCACAAAAAUAUGUAAAGUACCGUGGGCCUCGUAGAACUAAUCAAUUAACUUCAGUCGCUGUAUCCUCACGGUUAUCAAUAUAUAUAUAUUAGAAAUAUUUUUUUUAUCCAUUUUAUCUAAACUCGUCAUUUCCGCAAGUUUCUAAAAUUUUAUUGAUGAACUACCAUAUUUUGUAGAAGAAAGAAAAGUACUGUAUAUAAGUUUAUCUAUUUUAAAGAGAACUAGAUUUGUUUCAAGGAAGAAAACGAAAUAUAUACCCAACAAAUUUUACAAAGCAUAAAUUUGUAUCAUUUUAACGAACAAUAGCCUUACACUAGCAUCCAAACGCAAAGACAAAAAAAAAAGACUGCCACACAGACAGAAAAAAAUAGAAUGACAUGAAAAAUGAGAUCAUUAUCUGAGAGCCAAAAAAAUCAACAAGCAUCUAUCAAGCAUUUAGUUACUUUCAGAAAAAAAAAAUCUAUCAAGCAUUUAGUCAACAAGUAACUAUUUAGUUGUCUUUUUGCGUUGGAAUUUCGCCAAAAAUAGCAAAACCCGAAAUUUGUGUUAAUACUCAGCUGUCCUAGCCUCUAUAUAUGUUACAUUGUGUGCAUUGUAUACGUAUAAUAUACGUAUAGCCAGAUGUAUUCACUGUAUAAAAUUAUUGAAAUGCAUGUCGACAAGGAAAUGAAAUGAAAUAGAUAGGGUUUGUUUGUCCUGUGGUGGUAACCGUGUAUAUAAGGGGGUUUGUCUGUUAAGCAUAUUUGGUAUGUCGAUUAUAUAUUAUAUUGGUUUUCGUAAACACAAACUCGUGUAUCCUAAUUAUGGAAACAUUGAAUCCAGUCAAUAACAAGAACAUAACUACGAAAUCGGGAUUCAACAGCAAUGUUAGUUCUGCUAAACUUUGUUGAGAAAUCGACCAAUCGAUCGAUUAUAAGCACGCGGAAAUUGUUGAGAUUAUAAGCACGCGGAAAACAACGGAGAUUACGGGUAAACUAUAGAAGAUAGUAUAGGUAUUCAUAAAUAUAUAUAUUACUAGAUUUCCAUAUACAAUCAUGUAAGAAACUUAAUGUCAUUAACAAAAAAAAAUUGUAAAGAUAAGAAACUUAUAUUGUCUUUGUUUAACAUAAACAUGCAUUUAUUUAUCUCUAUAUAAACUAUGUAUAUGUUUGGUAACUUGAUUAAUUACUAGACAUAUUUACAAUAGUUCCAUGAUAUUUCUUGUGUUUUACUUUUAUCAUUAUUGUGGUAAUAAAAAUAGAAAUAAAGAUACAUAAAAUGCUAUGAUGAGAAACAUAGUAUUUUCUCAUGUUAUUUGAAAUGACAUUCUAUCAACGAAAACUUCGUUUAAACAUAUGAACAGUUGACAAAAAAAAUUGCUGCCACUUAAAACUUAACAAAACUCAUAUAAAACAUCUGAUUGAUGACUAUUGUAUGAAAUUACUCAAAACAAGAUUUCUUAAAAUUUUACUCAUAUAUAUUAUCAACAAGAAGUUAUAGAUAUAUAAAAACAAAUUACGAUCCAAUAUAAACAAAUGUUAGAAUUAAAUAUAAAAAGUAAAAGUUGACAAAAGAGUAGUAGGUGACAGAAAAGAGCAAUAAAGAAAUAAUGUCAAGCUAAGGAAUUGGUAUCCAAUGUUUAAUUUCUUUCAAAUCAACUAGCUAGACUUUCUGAUAUAUGCAUUGUCAUAUAAUAAGUUACUGAGUUCGAGAGACAAGCGCAGAACACCAUGCAAACAUUAGGUCAACCCUAACGCCAAAACAAGUAAAGAAAAAACGCCAAGAAAAGACGAAUGGUAAUAAGAUACGCAGCUCAUGUACCUAUUAGUAAGUGAAUACAUUUGAAUUAAAUAAUUAAGAAGGAUUUGGUAAUGAUUAAAGGAGUAAAGAAGGUUAAGGAGGGGAUAAAGAGAUAAAAGCUCAAGUACAAUGAUAAAGAAAACAAAGAAGAAAAAGGGUGCACACAAACAUCCCCUCCCAUAAACAAACAAACAAUCACACUCACUCCCAUCUGUCCAAAUCCAAUUUCAUCUUCACAUAUACUUUACUUACACAAUACACAUACGCAGAUAUAUAUAUAACCAUUCUUUUAUGCAUAUAUAUUUUUUUCUUUUCCAAAGACCAUUCUUAUAUUUGAACCAUAAUUUUUAUGCUCCUAAGUUGGAAAUUCGUCCUAGUCCUCUAAACUUCAAUCUAAUUAUUUUUCUUUAAAUAAACAAUUAUUAUGUGAAUAUAUAAAAUCCGUAUAGCUAACAUUUAUUAGUAUGAAAAACUAACAUCAGUUGUUAAAUUAAUGUGGCCAAAUUACCCUGUAGGCUGUAGUUGAAAACCAACAUAGGCUGUAGUUGAAAACCAACACUUAAGUCUAGUGUUAGUUACUCACAAUAUAAAGUCCAUGAACCAAAUUUGGAUAACGCUGUCAUCUUUCAUUCACUUAAGGGCUUGUUCAGUUAACCAAACGCAUCUCCACAAGAUAAUAAUCACUAGGUUUGUUUUACUACGUGCAGUGACUAGUGAGUGAUUAAGUGACAUAUCUUGAACUAGCCCUGCGACUUUUGUCCGAAACCGGACCGAGCCGAACCGAAAUUUUUGGUUUUCGGUUUAGUUCGGUACGAUUUUGAAAAGUAAAUCGGUUUUCGGUUCGGUUUGGUUUUCGAAUUUAAAAUAAAAAAUAAAAAAAAAUUUAAAACCGAAAAACCAGACCGAAUUUAGCCGAAAGCAUCUAUUUUUUUUUGGAAAAUUAGACCAGAAUUAAUCGAAAACCAAAAAAAUCCGUUAUUUUCGGUUAAUUUCGGAAUAGGUUUUAAAAAUUUCGGUUAACCGAAAAACGAUGGUUUGGUUCGGUUUCGGAAAAACGAAGUCGCACGGCUAUCUUGAACUAUGGCAUGAACAACCUUUUCAAAUAUGUGUACAUUUGAGGUGACUAGAUAUCAUAAAGAAAAAAACAAUACCAUGAUUUGCAUGAAGAUGAAAGUAUUCAUUACAAAGAAGAGGAAGACACCGACUAGCAAAAGGGUUUGACAAAUGGUGAAACUAUCAUUAGAAGUCUAAAAUGAAUAGGUUCGUAACUGAGAACUGAGGUCACCAAGUACGGAAACAGAAACAGUAACAGAGUUCAUAUAACUAAAUAGAUUUAACAACAUCAAAGAUCACUCGUUUAUUGAGGGA